rnacentral:misc_RNA from 1 species
AACGCAUCUUGCGCUCUUGGGUUAUUCCUAAGAGCAUGCUUGUUUGAGUAACAGAAAAGCUCAACCCCGCUUUCUUUAUUGAGAGUAGUAAAAGGGUUAGGAUCAUGACAGUUUGUUGACUCUUUAAGAGUGAACUCUGUCGAAAGACAAGCAGCCGAACUUUGAAAACAGUGCAAGCUCCGGCUAACUUAUUGUUGUAUAACUUUAUGUCUCGAUAAGCGCACUUUCAAUCCAGUAGGCUUUGAAAACUUCUUAGUUUGAGGGAUUAAUUUCUUUUUAAACUAAAUUUUUAUUGCUUGUUCUCAAAUCAAGUAGGACUACCCGCUGAACUUAA